AUCUAAUUUGUGUGGAGCUGCACUGUGUGUGUGCGCGCGCACGUGUGUGUGGAGUGUUUUAGUCACAGAAGAGGGGUGAGAAGAGGAAGGGAGCAUUUACAUAGAACCCCCAAUUUUCCUUGAAUCCCAGGGAGUUAAUUAUUUCAGGGUACAGGAUACUGUGGCCACCUGCUGAGGCUUAUUGAGCUGGCUUUCUGGGUCCCUGGAGUGGGCACAUGGCAUGAGAGUCCACAUGUGAAGAAGAGAAACCAGAGACCUGAGUGACUCCAUCUGAGCUGGAGAGAGCACAGAUGAAGGCACACAAAGUAUGGCUCCAGACACCUUCCCGUCAAUAUCUUCUGUCUGUCCCUUGAGAAGAGCAAUUGAUCUGAGGCUUUCAGUGUCUAAGUUACAUCAUAAGAGGACUUGAGGCAAAGCUUACGUGGAUUUUGUUACUUGGCCCCACUGAGUUAAUGCUGGAGAAGUGGAUCCCGUGCUCCGUAGUAUGGAACUUUGGCUGAAUCUCCAAAGUCUUCCCUCAGCCUCUCUACCAUUAAAAAGACAUCAUUAAGUAGAAUGGACUGCAGAAAACAGACUCAAAUUCCUGGCCUUUGUCAUGCAAAAUAGAACUUUUCAUUGUAAGAGGAUCAGACCGCCUUACUCCUGCAAGGGCCCUGGAGGCAGGCAGCAGAGAUGACAUAUACUCAGCAUCUCGGGUGUGAUGGUUCCUGUGAGGGUGACUCCUUCUGGGUUCAGGUGCCUGAGAGGAGCCACAGAUGGUACAGGCCAUUACUCACUACCCUAAGGCAGCACAGCCAGUCCCCCAUUGUUCAGGAUAUAACAAAGUACUUAGAUCAAGCCAGUGACAAAGCCAUUCUCUCUGAGCACUAAUUAGCCUCUGAGUAAUUUCUAAUCUAACUCCAAUUUCAACCAUAUGUAUAUACAGAUGCAGUUUGCUUUACACUUCUUGUCUUCCUUUUCUCAUCAUUCUUGGAUCCUCUUGCCACCCCCUCCCCCAUUCCUGCAUCUUUUUCAUUCUGUUCAUCAAUUUCCUUUCCUGAGAUGUUUUAACAUUUAACUUGGGACUUGAAGGUUGACAAUGUUUGGGAUCCUACGUAUUCUCCUACA